rnacentral:rRNA from 1 species
AUUGAACGCUGGCGGCGUGCCUAACACAUGCAAGUCGCACGCGAAUGGGGGCAACCCCAAGUAGAGUGGCGGACGGGUGAGUAACGCGUAGGAAUCUACCUAGUAGUGGGGGACAACCCGGCGAAAGCCGGGCUAAUACCGCAUACGACCUAAGGGUGAAAGCAGGGGAUCGCAAGACCUUGCGCUAUUAGAUGAGCAUGCGUCCGAUUAGCUAGUUGGUGAGGUAACGGCUCACCAAGGCGACGAUCGGUAACUGGUUUGAGAGAACGACCAGUCACAUUGGGACUGAGACACGGCCCAAACUCCUACGGGAGGCAGCAGUGGGGAAUAUUGGACAAUGGGGGCAACCCUGAUCCAGCGACGCCGCGUGUGUGAAGAAGGCCUUCGGGUUGUAAAGCACUUUCGGCAGGGACAAACAAGACGGAGCUAACAUCUCCGUUCCUGAUGGUACCUGAAGAAGAAGCACCGGCUAACUCUGUGCCAGCCGCCGCGGUAA